rnacentral:lncRNA from 1 species
AUGUGGCUUUUAAGUUCUGAAACUACACGUGCCAGAAAACUGGGAACAAAGUGACCUGGAGGUCCUGCCAGGGGUGAAAAAUCAGGCAACAGACUCUUCUAAAUAAUUAUAUAUUUAUUUAGCACUUCAUAAACACUUAUAUAUAAAAAUAGUCAACAGUCUCCCAAGAAAGAUCAAAAUAUGUGGGCAGAGACAGCUGUGCAUUUGAAGCUGAGGUUGUGUUUUUCUUGUUUAUAUUUGAAGACACCAGGCAAGUUAAUUUUAUAUCAUUGUAAGGACUUUCAGUCCGAGGUAAACUUACAGAUAUAUAAAUUCCUAUCCCACAAGGACAAUUCCAGUGGGUAUCGAAACUAUUCUUACAGAGAGGACAGUGACCUCUCAAGUUGAGUCUUCUAGUGACCCGCCCCCCCUCCAACGUCUUCCUGAGAUGACCAGUUUGCCUAAGUUUCUGCGGAGCAGACAGGAAGUCCUAUCUUGUCUCGUCUCCUAUACGGUAGCUGAUGGUCCAGAUGCACCUCACACGAUUCUGGACUGGAAAAGUCUUUUAGUUUCCAAGGUGAGCUUAUUCACGAGGCUUUUGCCAAUGCUCAUGAGUUCUCAAUGCAGUUCUGAUCAGCACUGUCACCACGUGGAAGUGUCUGAUUCAACCACAGCCUUUAUGAUCAAGCAAACAUCUAACAGAACCCCAAAGAGAUUUUGGAAGUCAGCCCAACACGUGGCAGUGGCUUGUUCUGGACUAGGUGAGGAAGUCAGACCUCAGCUUGAAGAGGCGAAAUCAAGGCUUGACAUGGGGGAAGUAGGGCUUUCUAACUUCUUCAGAGACGUCACGUGGACAGCUUCCUAUUUCACCUAAACUAGUGUUAAUUUCAAGCUUAUCGGAUACCAUAUUCAAAAGGAAGCAUAAAAAUAAACUCCAAAAGGUAGAGUGUGGCCUGGUUUGUGUUCUCUCUGCACAUGCAAAGCCACAGACUUCACUCAGCACUCUGCUGCUGCUAAGUCGCUUCAGUCGUGUCCGACUCUGUGCGACCCC